AUAUUUUUGAUGUAUUGUAAAUAGCAUAAUAAAAAACUCUGUUCUUAUCAGCUUAAUAACUGAUACGGGUUCUAUAUGGACCCACGAUAUUAAACAUAUUAAACCUAUUUUUGGAAGUUGGCGGAGUGCUUGAAGCCUGCUUCAACUCCGCCGCUGGUCGGCCCGGUAUUGCACUACCUCCGGGAUCGGUCCCCGCUCA